UUAAUGGAGUAGAAUCCUUUAUUUUCUCUGUUUAUUUUCUCACAGAUUCUCUAGAGGGCUAUUUGAAGAAUAGGAUUAGAGACCCUAGUAUUGAGUCUUAUUUAUUUUGUGGCUUCAUAGUACAAACUAAAAAAAUUUGGCAGCCGACGAUUCUCCCCCGGGGGAGCGUGUGGCAUAAGAGAUGGUCCACUUAUAUCUUUACCACUUUUAUUGUAGGUUAGUGUACGUCCGGUUUAAUACCUCUGAUUAUUGUCUUUAGGUGAAUUUCAGUUAAUUUAGGCCAGG
rnacentral:rRNA from 1 species